AGGGGAGACCAUGGUGUAAAGGGUGAAAAAGGACAACCAGGGCAAGGUGCUCCUGGUCCAAAGGGCCACACAGGCUACACAGGUUCUAAAGGCUCGCGUGGACCGACUGGAAUUGGGAUUAAAGGUGUCAAGGGUGAUAUUGGACCUCCGGGACCACAAGCACUUACAGGCAUGACAGGAAUUGGUUUG